rnacentral:rRNA from 1 species
AACGAACGCUGGCGGCAUGCCUAACACAUGCAAGUCGAACGAGACCUUCGGGUCUAGUGGCGCACGGGUGCGUAACGCGUGGGAACCUGCCCUUAGGUUCGGAAUAACGCCCCGAAAGGGGUGCUAAUACCGGAUAAUGUCUUCGGACCAAAGAUUUAUCGCCUUUGGGUGGGCCCGCGUUGGAUUAGCUAGUUGGUAGGGUAAAAGCCUACCAAGGCGACGAUCCAUAGCUGGUCUGAGAGGAUGAUCAGCCACACUGGGACUGAGACACGGCCCAGACUCCUACGGGAGGCAGCAGUGGGGAAUAUUGGACAAUGGGCGAAAGCCUGAUCCAGCAAUGCCGCGUGAGUGAUGAAGGCCUUAGGGUUGUAAAGCUCUUUUACCCGGGAUGAUAAUGACAGUACCGGGAGAAUAAGCGCCGGCUAACUCCGUG